rnacentral:rRNA from 1 species
AUUGAACGCUGGCGGCAGGCUUAACACAUGCAAGUCGAGCGGGGUGAUGGUGCUUGCACUAUCACUUAGCGGCGGACGGGUGAGUAAUGCUUAGGAAUCUGCCUAUUAGUGGGGGACAACAUCUCGAAAGGGAUGCUAAUACCGCAUACGUCCUACGGGAGAAAGCAGGGGAUCACUUGUGACCUUGCGCUAAUAGAUGAGCCUAAGUCGGAUUAGCUAGUUGGUGGGGUAAAGGCCUACCAAGGCGACGAUCUGUAGCGGGUCUGAGAGGAUGAUCCGCCACACUGGGAAUGGAACCCGGCCCAGACUCCUACGGGAGGCAGCAGUGGGGAAUAUUGGACAAUGGGGGGAACCCUGAUCCAGCCAUGCCGCGUGUGUGAAGAAGGCCUUAUGGUUGUAAAGCACUUUAAGCGAGGAGGAGGCUCUUUUGGUUAAUACCCAAGAUGAGUGGACGUUACUCGCAGAAUAAGCACCGGCUAACUCUGUGCCAGCCGCCGCGGUAA